CGAUUGGUCUAUGUUUUACUUCGUAAAAAUAUGCUCAGUAGUGUAUUGUUUCACGUGUUUCAUUAUAUGGAUAAUGAAUUUAUUGAAAUUAAUAAAGAGAAGAAUGAUAUAAAUAAAAAUCUUUUAAACAGUAUGAACGUAACUAAGGAAAUCUUCGAAGAAUAUUCAGCGAAUUAAUUAAAGAAAAAGACAUUGUUCCAUCGUACAUCAAAC
rnacentral:misc_RNA from 1 species